CCCACAUGGUCAAGAUACAUACCAACUUUUGCAAUCAAGUGACAAUGGCAGAGGAGGCUAUUUUGGGAUAUUUGGAGAAUCACGAAGAGAUCUCUGAUUCCGGCAAGUUCGCAGCAGAAAGGGGAAUCGACCACGCCGAGAUCGUCAAUGUCAUCAAAAGCCUCUACGGUUUCCGCUUUGUCAGCGCUCAGGACAUUAGAACGGAGACAUGGGUGCUGACCGACGAAGGGAAAAAGUAUGCUGCUGUUGGGUCUCCUGAAGUGCAGCUGUUCUUGGCUGUGCCAACGGAGGGUAGCAUCUCGAAGGAGGAGCUGCAGAAAAAGCUUGACCCUGGAGUUUUCAAAAUAGGGUGCUCACAGGCUGGAAAGAAUAAGUGGGUGGAAAU
rnacentral:misc_RNA from 1 species